rnacentral:lncRNA from 1 species
AGCCCCCUCGCGGGCGAAGCAGCCCGCGUCUAGUGUCUAUCACUUAGCUACCGGAUAUGCAUCGGUAACCCAUAAGGUUCUGGGGUAAGUCUUCCCCAUUAGUCAGGCGCAGACCCGGGGUCAAAUCCCCUGGUCGACAACCACACGAGUUGGGAGAGGACCGUUUCCUCAACAGAAUCCAGUGACCGGUCGCUUGCGUGCAAGCUGGAGAGGUCUAUUUACGGUUUGAAGCAGGCACCCCGUUGCUGGUAUGAAAAACUAUCAGCAGAGUUCGCCAAGCUGGGUCUUUAUCCUUCAAAGUCUGAUCCGGCGAUGUUCGUUAAGACGGACGAGCGUGGGGUGGUUAUUGCUUUGGUGCACGUAGAUGACACCAUUGUUGCGUCAGAAGACCCGGAAAUGGUCCGGGCAAUUAAAGCCGCAAUUGCGAAGGUCUUCAAGGUGCGUGACCUUGGAGAAGCGAAGGUGUUUUUGGGCAUGGAAAUUAGGAGGGAGAAGUCGGGUGAGAUAGUGUUGUCGCAGCAUAGGUAUAUUGAGCAGCUGUUAGAGCGUCAUAGGAUGGUUGACGCCAAGCCGAGGUCUACCCCUUUGCCUCCGGGCUUUAGGUAUACUCCUAAGGGGGACGGAGAGGAGCUGCUGGGCAAUCCCACGGAGUAUAGGGCUUUGGUGGGAGGAUUGAACUAUCUGGCGACGAACACGCGGCCUGACAUUUCGUAUGCCUUGAGCGUUUUGUCCCGGCAUAUGGCCACACCUACGAAGACUGCCAUGAACUUGGCCACUGGCGUUCUGCGUUACCUGGCGGGUACUCGCGAACUAGGAUUGCGUUUUGGGGGUGUUGGCAGUGUUGCAAUGUCCGGGUACAGUGAUUCGGACUGGGCAGGAGACCCAGUUACGCGGUGUUCUACGUCCGGUUACAUAUUCACUCUUAAUGGGGCUGCGAUUAGUUGGAGCAGCCAACUUCAACGUACUGUGGCGGCUUCGUCGGUGGAGGCUGAGUACCAAGCUACAGCGGCAGCUGUUCGUGAAGCUUUGUGGCUUCGCAAGCUGAUGGUCGAUUUGGGCUUGCCUGAGAGCGCGGUGAAAAUCCAGAUAGACUCCCAGGGGGCACUUAGCUUGGGAAAUAAUCCGAUUACGUCUGCUCGGUCGAAGCACAUCGACGUGCAGCACCACAUAGUGCGUGAGAGGGUGAAUAGUGGGGAGGUGCAGUUGGAGUACUGCCCUACAGAGUGGAUGGUAGUGGAUGCGCUCACGAAGGCACUGGGAGAAGUGAAGUUCAAACGGUGCAGAGAAGCUAUGGGCGUUGUGUGAAGUGCCCAUUGGCGGAGCAAAUGUGCUACUGUGAGUUGGGAUAUGUCCCGAGGGGGCGUGUUGAAGGGUGGUCCUAUCCCAACGUAGAUAGUUGGUAGUUAGGCGAUGAUUCCGCCGUGAUAGACGAUGCCUCGGACGUGCCUCGACCUUGCCUCGGCCGUGCCUAGACUUGCCUCGGGUCUCUCGGCCGCGUAUCUCGGACGUGACCUCAGGUCCAGGGAUGGUGGACAUCUGUACGAUACUUCCAUUUGUACUGGUAUAUAAGAGACGAGUUGUGCUAGUCUUCGUAUCUCAUCUUUGUAUGGAUCGGUAUUCCUUAGUAGGAAUUUCCUAAAGUCUUCCAGCCGUUUACCACUCACCUACCGAUUGCAAUACUUACAUCGCAACCAGUCUCCUUGCCUCCUUCAUAUUCUUAACAAGUCCAUCAUCCGCUCCACUGUCGCUCCGACAGAUCCCAACGUCGCCACGCUCCCCACCAACACCUUCUUCCAUGACCGCACGGGGGCCGCAGCCAUACGCCAGCACCCGUCCAUCAUGCAGGACCCCAGGCUGGAGGCUCUCGUCGCCGCCGUCACUGCUGCCCCGUCUGCUCAAGUGGACAACACACCGGAGGAUGCUGGUCUCGAGGAGCUCGAAGGUCUGGUGCCUGUUAACCCUGACACACCUGUGCAGGGAUCAGGUGACGAUGCACGAAACCCAGUGGAGCUACACCGUGAGCUGACAGCGGAGCGCCGGCUGGUCUUUGCGUCUGGUAAGCUGGUAAUGGGUGGGUGAAGUGUAUUCCCUGAUGCGCUGCUACUCUCGUGUGUGACACACCCGCAUAAGGCUUGUGCCUCCUCACCGAUAUGCAUAUGUUGGAAAUGACCGACACUCAUAUACCAGUGAAUGGUAGCCACAGUAAUAGGACCCAACGGGGGUCCGGCGCUUUGCUGGUCUUAACAGCAUAUCACAAUCGACCUGCCCAAUGCAUGCUCCCGACUCUAUGCCUCCGCCCUGCUGCAGAUCCUGGACUACUCCCGGGAAGACAUGCUUGCCAGCAACUUCCCCACCGCAUUUCCGUACACCGAGGGCGGCCUCCGUCCCCUGGGUAUGAGCAACCGGAUCUUCUUCCAGCAUGUGUCCACACGUGUGCCACGGCGGCAGCUCAGCGGCAACCUCCUCAUGCUCGCCCGCAUGGUGGACGUGCUCAACAUGGAGGACGCAAAAGUGCAGACGUGGGUUACAGUGAAGAGCUGCCAGCAGGACAUCGACACGGUGGGCACCAUCCCGCGAGAGGCUGUCAAAGCGAUGGUGGACAUCCUGGCAUUGCCGAAGAUGCACCCGGAUCACCGCCGCCUGCUUCAAGACAUGUCACCUCUCGUGCAUGCCCUCGUCACCUCUCUUCGGUGAACGGUCGCACGCAUCGACAUGACAGAUGCCUAUUACCGCAACACACACGCCAAUCUACAUGGUGUAGCCGCUGCAACCGGGCUGCCACUCCUCAUGUUUAACGUCAACCCCGCCGACUUGCACAGUGCGGCUGCAGUCGUGGCCGCUGGGCAGUUUUUGGAAUUUGGCGAGGACGGUGCUCUGUUGCGGGAGGAGUGUGUCAUGGACAAGUGGUGGCGGGUGCGAAACAACCCCUACACCAGCCAAGCUGUUGAGGAAACGGUCCUCUCCCAACUCGUGUGGUUGUCGACCAGGGGAUUUGACCCCGGGUCUGCGCCUGACUAAUGGGGAAAUCUUACCCCAGAACCUUAUGGGGCUACCGAUGCAUAUCCGGUAGCUAAGUGAUAGACAUUAGGGCACCGUCUGGACGGCGCAGUGAGAUCGCGGAAUGUACGUGCAGUUAGAUCGCGGAAUGUACGAGUUUUCCGCUAGCGCCGGUAUUUAGGGCGGUGACUGCGCCUAUUAGUUUAUCUCACAACGAUCGGUAUUCCUACCAGGAAUCUCCUCAAGUCCUGCCGAACGCUAACAAUACUCUUUACAUUACUUGUAACAGUUUAUCGUGCUAAAUAUCUUCGCCACCGGCAAUCCUUCCGGAAUAACAAUUAGCGUUAGCUGUCACCGUCGCCAAUUCUUCAAUAGGUUAUGAGCCCCGCUUAGCGCCGACAGUUAUCGCCCAAUUGUUAUUUCUAUCCCUCAUCAACAAUGGUUAAGGACAAGCUUGAUGAGUCGCUGGAUCUCAACAACUACUCUACCUGGCAAAUUCGAUUUAGCGCGAUGUGCAUGGAGCUUGGGCUUGNNNNNNNNNNNNNNNNNNNNNNNNNNNNNNNNNNNNNNNNNNNNNNNNNNNNNNNNNNNNNNNACAACAACGCCCGCAAGGUGUCUCUACGUCAAGAAUUCAGCCGUUUUAAGAUGGUCGACGGCGAACCUCUUCCGAUGUACUUUGCGCGUGCAAGGCAGCUGCAAACAGAUUUAUUGGGAGUCGGCCACGUAGUUAACGACUCCGAGCUGGCGUACACCGUGCUAGUUGGUCUACCCAGUCAGUACAGCGUGGUGACGACUACAUUACUUAUGCGCGACGGCGAUUUGGACAUGGCGAGCGUCACAGCAAAGCUUCUCUCUAUCGAGACGGCUAACGGUGGGUCGGGCAAGCCUACCGAGUCGGCAGCCUUCGCGUCUGUCGGCGGUUCGACGUUCGGCGCUUCUACUUCUGGUUAUGGUAGCCGGGGGCCGGCUAACAACAGCUCGGGACAUAGUCGGAAGCAAGUCAUCUGCUACUACUGUAAUAAACCUGGGCACGUGGUUAAGGACUGCAGGCAGCUUAAGGCGCUGAAGCAGUCGUCAAAUUCUGGCUACAAGGGUGGCUACAGCAACAGUGGUAACGGAGGUAGUGGCAGCGGAGCUAGCGGCAGCAAGGCAGGAUCCGGUGGAUCAGCUAGGAGGCCAGGAGUUCCGCGGCAGGUAGCAUUCGUGGCAUACAACAGCAAUCGUCCGACGGAAUGGUUUCUGGACUCAGCCGCCACUCACCACAUAACGUAUGACCGCUCAGAACUUUCCAACGUGCGGUUAUUGGAGCCAUGNGAGCGCUUCAACAUCAUGGGCAUCAAGGGACAGUCUCUUCGGCCGACUGAAGUUGGCACGCUUACGAUUCGGUCUAACGUCAACGAUAAAACAAGCCAUCACUUNNNNNNNNNNNNNNNNNNNNNNNNNNNNNNNNNNNNNNNNNNNNNNNNNNNNNNNNNNNNNNNNNNNNNNNNNNNNNNNNNNNNNNNNNNNNNNNNNNNNNNNNNNNNNNNNNNNNNNNNNNNNNNNNNNNNNNNNNNNNNNNNNNNNNNNNNNNNNNNNNNNNNNNNNNNNNNNNNNNNNNNNNNNNNNUGGGGACUUGUAUCCCGUAUGCUACAGCAGUGGAGGUACUGGAGCUCUGAAGAGGACGCAGCGUGAAGACAACAGGAUACCUUCUGGUGGUGAUGCAGUGUGUGCUGCCGUGGGUAUCGGAGCUGAACGUGCAGCACUUUGGCACCGAAGGUAUGGCCACUUGGGAUACAGCAACCUUGAGACGUUGCUGCGUCAUAAUAUGGUAGCUGGAUUUGAUGUUGACCGACACAGCAUACAAUCAGCCAGCACGUGUGUGUGUGAGACUUGCGUCCUUGCUAAACAUACACGUGGUCCUUUUCCGUUAUCUGGGCAUAAGGCAGCGCAGCCUCUCGCGCUCAUUCACAUGGAUGUGUGUGGGCCUAUGCCUGAACCUUCGCCUAGUGGUUCGCGUUACGUGACAACCCUGCUUGACGACCAUACUGGUCUUUCAGCUGUUGCGUUUACAGCGACCAAGGAGGAGGUCUACCAGAAGAUGGUGGUAAUGAUAGCGGAACUGGAGCGCGCUACUGGCAGGCAGGUUAAGGAGGUGCGUACAGAUCGUGGCGGGGAGUUCGUUAAUACUCGCACGAAGGCCUAUUUCGCUUCCAGGGGUAUUCUACACGGAACUACGGUAGGCUACACCCCUGAGCAGAACGGAGCUGCAGAACGUUUAAAUCGCACUCUUUUGGACAAGACUAGGGCUAUGCUAGUUGAGUCUGGACUGCCUAAAUCAUUAUGGGCGGAGGCGUUAGCGACAGCGAACUAUCUUAGGAAUGUGUCGCCAACUGCUGGGUCAACCGUCACUCCGUACGAAGCUUUCUUUAACGUUCAUCCGAACGUCAGUCACCUGCGAGUCUUUGGAUGCGUUGCCUACGUCCACGUACCCGACGUCAAGCGCGACAAGUUCGACCCGGUGAGCAAGCGUGGAAUACUUGUCGGAUACGGGAACGGUGGACAGUAUCGUGUACUAUACGAGGACGGCAUUAUUGCCGUAGUUUCCAACGUUCGUUUUGACGAGUCUAAUGUCGGCCGGCGGUGUAAUGCCGGGGACUCCGAUUAUGAGUCCGAUGCCGACGAGGAGGAGGAGUUUCGCACUAGUUUAUCUGGUGAGGGAUCGCUGCCUAGGGCUGGCGAAGGGACACCAGGUAGCACCGUCGGCGAGGGAUCGCCGCAUUUGGGUGGCGAGGGGGCGCCGGCUGGGGCUGGACCUUCCAGCAGUGCGAAUGGGCAAGGAAUCAAUCAGCCUGAUGUGGAAAUGGCGGGAACUAGGUACCCAGUUAGAGAGCGUAAACGCCCUGGCGAAUGGUGGCGAAACGAACCUGGUCGCACUGUCACUGGUCGCGUUAACGCUGCUUUCUCUGCUGGUAUUCCUGAGCCUAAUUCGUUUGAGGAAGCAAUUGCAAGUCCACAUGCAGACGACUGGCGGCGUGCGAUGGACGAGGAGAUCGCCGCCCAGAUGGCUAAUAGUACUUGGGAGCUGAAGAAGCCACCUCCUGGUACUCGUUUGUUGCCGUGUCGUUGGGUAUACAAGGUGUACAGCGAUGAUGGCAGCGUGGAGCGUUUUAAGGCGCGUUUAGUUGCCAAGGGUUUCGAGCAACGUGAGGGGAUUGAUUAUGGGGAGUUGUUUGCCCCUACCUCUCGUGGUUCGUCAUUGCGUGCUUUAUUAGCAGUUGCCGCAGCCCGGAACAUGACGGUACAUCAACUCGAUGUAAUGUAAUGUAAUGUUACAGAGUGGGAGGCUUCUGGGCCGCUUUAUCACAUUGUCAGUUCUAGAUCAUUUAUCACCUUAUAGCACCAUCCACCACUACCACACUGUACUUCGCCAUACGAACUGUAAGUCCAAGGCGGCGGAUCCAGCCUUCAGGGACCCCUCCUCAUCCAUUCACCCGAACACCCGAAGAGACGGAGGGUUCGGCAAUCGCCACCAAUCCAGCGUGCGAAUCUGGUCCAUCAACUGUGACCUCAACUCCACAUCUCAGCAGCUAGCCAUAAUCUCGCGCUCCCGACUAAUUCGAGGGUCUCCCCAGGAAUCGAACCCAGGACCUUAAACCGCUAAUUGCAGUAGUGUGAACCCAGACCAGACCGACUCGAUGUGUCUACUGCGUUUCUGAAUGGUGAGCUGGAGGAGGAGUUUGUUGAGGAAACGGUCCUCUCCCAACUCGUGUGGUUGUCGACCAGGGGAUUUGACCCCGGGUCUGCGCCUGACUAAUGGGGAAGACUUACCCCAGAACCUUAUGGGGCUACCGAUGCAUAUCCGGUAGCUAAGUGAUAGACAUUAGGGCACCGUCUGGACGGCGCAGUGAGAUCGCGGAAUGUACGUGUUUUCCGCUAGCGCCGGUAUUUAGGGCGGUGACUGCGCCUAUUAGUUUAUCUCACAACGAUCGGUAUUCCUAUCAGGAAUCUCCUCAAGUCCUGCCGAACGCUAACAAUACCUGGCAAAUUCGGUUCAGCGCGAUGUGCAUGGAGCUUGGGCUUGAGCAAUCCCUGCUCGCCGAGCCGUGCAACGAGGAGCAAAUUCGACAGUCACGGAAGGUCAUCAAUCUGCUCAUCAAGAACGUCAAGGAUCAUCAUUUGCCGAUGGUUACCGGUGCUGCCAACGCGAAGAAGGCCUGGGACGCCUUGGGAUCUAUGUUUGCUGCCAACAACAACGCCCGCAAGGUGUCUCUACGUCAAGAAUUCAGCCGUUUUAAGAUGGUCGACGGCGAACCUCUUCCGAUGUACUUUGCGCGUGCAAGGCAGCUGCAAACAGAUUUUNNNNNNNNNNNNNNNNNNNNNNNNNNNNNNNNNNNNNNNNNNNNNNNNNNCGGAAUGUACGUGCAGUUAGAUCGCGGAAUGUACGAGUUUUCCGCUAGCGCCGGUAUUUAGGGCGGUGACUGCGCCUAUUAGUUUAUCUCACAACGAUCGGUAUUCCUACCAGGAAUCUCCUCAAGUCCUGCCGAACGCUAACAAUACUCUUUACAUUACUUGUAACAGUUUAUCGUGCUAAAUAUCUUCGCCACCGGCAAUCCUUCCGGAAUAACAAUUAGCGUUAGCUGUCACCGUCGCCAAUUCUUCAAUACAAGCACUCCUCAACACGGUUAAGCUCGCCUUCAUGGACAUCCUUUUUGGUUUCAAACCUGGCGACAAGCGGCAGAGCAACCCCGACUGCUUCUGUGGCACCGUGUUCCACAUCUGCAUCAAGGUGGAGCAGAGUGGACGCCUCGCCCUGCACUUGCACGGCAUGGCGCACCUGGCAGUGUUCACCGUGGACAAAAUGCGGGCCCUGUUUGAGGGGCCCAACUGCCGCGCUCUGGCACUGGCACACACCCUCUGCAGCAUGUGGCUGCCUGAGCCGUACUACGACAUCCAGGACAAAGAGCGACGAGUCUUCUGGCAGACACCCCUGGUCACGGCUGCACCCACCACACCAACGGCAGUUGCACCGACGCCCAUGGAAGCAUCAACAGCAGCACUGACGACUUGACAGAUGCUACUGCAGAAGGGGAUGACGGCCUGACUCAAGCAGAACCUGGCAGCGCCUCGGGCACAGAUGAAGACAUUGGCAAUGGUGACAAUGGAGUCCAGCCAGCCCCCCCCGCAGCGUCCGCUGGCCGCCCCCCAGCCAUCCGCGCGCCUCAGCCAGAUGGAUCCAUGCCGGCGCCCGCAUAUGACUUCGCCAUUGUCACCCGUGGCAAGCCGCGUGGGACCGGGGGUGAAGCCACUGAUACCUUUACACCCGAAGUGUGCUUUGAACGCUGCACACAGCACCUUGUGGCGGGUGUCGUGGGGUCCUGCACCCACACACACACCGACACCUGCAAACACUUCGGCUGUGCAGGCGUGGAUGGAUACUGCGGCAUGGCCUACCCACGCCACAUCCGGCGUGAGUUCAAGUGGGUGGGCGACAACGGCCUGUUCGUUCUGCCCCGAUACAGCCCCAACAUUGUGCCCCAUUGCCCCACUGUCACAAUGGCGCUGGGCUGCAACAACAUCUUCACGCUGGCCUGUGAGCUCGACCGUCAGUACACCGCAACAGUGGAGGAACAGCUUGUACUGCCGGUCCCCAUGCCCCCGAGGUCCUGGAGGAUAUCCUUGUGCAAGCAGAGGUUGUGGCCCGCCGAACCACACACUAUGCCACCAAGUAUGUCGCCAAGGCCACGUCGCAGAGCCAAGUCACACGGCUGAACCACGCGAUCAUGAUCAGCCGCCACUUCCUUGACACUGCAGCUGCUGGUGGUGGAGACCCCGCAGCCGCCCAGGAGGGAUGAUGCAAGGGCAUCGGAAACCUUAUCUCCGCGGCGAACCGUACGACAGCCAGCCUGACCAUCGGAAUGGCCAUGGCGUCCUUCAAGCUGGCAGGGCACGAGACAUUCGAGACCACGUACGAACGCGGCUUUCACGGCAGAUGUGCGUGUAAAGCUGCAGGGCACGGAUCUGACCAUUAGGAGCCUUGAGAACGUCCGCAAGAUCGUUACCACGCGCUGAGACUACGAACCUACCAAUGGCACCACAUGCCACUGCAUGGUUGUCUUCUUUCACAUCUGCGAAGCAGAUCUGACGCUCAGGCUUCGAACGAAAGUGAACGCAUGCCUGCUGUUGUGUGAUUGUGCAUCUUCUUACAUGGAGCUCCACUUCUUACAUGGAACUGCGUCUCUUCGCAGUGCCCUGCGUGAUGGCUGACUUUUGCAAUGCAACGCUCCGGUGCUGCUAUACUACGCAUUCCUAAUAUGCGGUUUCAGCCGCACGUGCCGUACACAAAACACCAUACGCCCGCGAAUGUGAAGCACCAGGGCAUGCAACCGCGAGUACACACAACGCGUGUGCACAUGAAUGUAUGACCACAUGAAACCGUACGUGUAGUACUGCCAAACGCCAGGAUGUGAGUUGUGAGGUGUGACGGUGAGACAAGGAUGUGACAAGGAUGUGUGGUGGGGAUGUGAAGUGUGAGGAUGCGACAAGGAUGUGAGGUGUGAGGAUGCGACAACUACGACCGCGACAGACUGGGACUGUACUCAUGCAUCAUGGGGAUGCGACACGGCCCCAUGUAUGCACUACAGUAGGCGGUGAGGACAGGCACCCGCCCAGACGUGAGAAUGCAACGGCACUAGAACACGAGAACACAAGCACGCGUCCAGGGCGUGGCAUUAGCUGGGUUCUGCUCAUGACGACCAUCAAAUGCAGGCACGUCCGUGCAGACUGCUGUUACUCCGCUGCUGACGAUGCUGCCACCGCGGUGAUUUCAUGCAAUUCGUGUGAUGCGAGCCUAGGAGGCAUAAUUCACUUCACCGCUCACAAUCCCCGGACAUUCCUUGUGCCGUGCUGCUAUCAGGGCCCCUCAUCGAUUGCUGUUAUGGGUCGUUGCUGUUGGAUGCCGGAUGUGAACCUCGAGAAUGCCUUCUGCUACGGCACUGCUGGCUGUGGCUUGCUACUAAACCACCCUCCAUCACAGAUGCAAUGUAACUGAGUCCUCGCCACUGCUUCCCCACAUUAUUACCGUUCUCACCUACGCACCACAGAGCACCUUACGCACCACACACCCACAGCUGGCCUGGGAGUCGAAGCUACGGUCCCCUUCGCGGCGCGCCGCGGUCAAGGAUCAUAAUCUUCCAAUGGUAACCGGUGCCGCCAAUGCGAAGAAGGCUUGGGACGCCUUGGGUUCGAUGUUUGCUGGCAGAGGUUAAGGCCUGGCUUCUGCUCCCGUCGCGUCCCAGCGCGUCCGGGUUCAAAUCCGCCUGCCGACCUCUCGGAGUGUUUGAGAGGUGAUGAAAUGGGAGGUGGCCCCCCAUCUUGUGGACGGUGUAGGACGUGAUAAAAUCAACUCGCGAGCUGACCAGGAACUAAGUUGACGCGCCGUUGAUCCGCUAGAUUUGGUUGGAUGCUGGUGGUGAGUUGCCAAACUCAAAGAGUACACUCUGAAGUCGGAUGGGGUGAAUGGCUUAGGGUGCCCCUCUAGCAGGGGAGAGCAGGGAACUGCCUCGGGAAGGAGGCCACUGGUGAAGCUUAACCACCCUGUAACAACAUCAACAACACCUGCAAGGUGGCUCCAUGUCAUAAAUUCGGCCGUUUUAAGAUGGUUGAUUCUCUUCCGAUGUAAUUUGCGCGUGCGAGGCAGCUGCAAACGGACUUAUUGGGAGUCGGCUACAUGAUUAACGACUCCGAGCUGGCGUACACCGUCCUCGUUGGUUUACCCAGUCGGUACAGCGUGGUGACGACAACAUUACUGAUGCACGACGGCGAUCUGGACAUGGCGAACGUCACGUCUAAGCUUUUAGCUAUCGAGACGGCUAACGGUGGGUCAGGAAAGCCUACCGAGCCGGCAGCCUUUGCAUCUGUCGGCGGUUCGACGUUCGGUGUUUCUAAUUCUGGUUAUGGCAGCCGAGGGCUGGCUAGCAGCAGCUCGGGACGCAGUAAAAAGCAGCUCACCUGCUACUACUGCAACAAGCCUGGGCACGUGGUUAAGGACUGCAGGCAGCUGAAAGUGCUGAAGCAGUUCUCAAUUUCUGGACAGAAUAAGGGUGGUAACAGCAGCAGUGGCUGUGGAGCUAGCGGCAGCAAGCCUGGGUCCAGUGGAUCAGCUAGGGAACCAGGAGUUCCGAGGCAGGUCGCGUUCAUGGCAUACAAUGGAUCCGGUGGAUCAGCUAGGGGGCCAGGUGUUCCGCGGCAGGUAGCGUUCGUAGCAUACAACAACGGUAGGCGGCAGGCGGCUGGCAGAGGUUAAGGCCUGGCUUCUGCUCCCGACGCGUCCCGGCGCGUCUGGGUUCAAAUCCGCCUGCCGACCUCUCGGGGUGUUUGAGAGGUGAUGAAAUGGGAGGUGGCCCCCCAUCUUGUGGACGGUGUAGGACGUGAUAAAAUCAACUCGUGAGCCGACCAGGAACUAAGUUGACGCGCCGUUGAUCCGCUAGAUUUGGUUGGAUGCUGGUGGUGAGUUGCCAAACUCAAAGAGUACACUCUGAAGUCGGAUGGGGUGAAUGGCUUAGGGUGCCCCUCUAGCAGGGGAGAGCAGGGAAUUGCCUCGGGAAGGAGGCCACUGGUGAAGCUUAACCACCCUGUAACAACAUCAACAACGAGCGUCCAACGGAAUGGUUUCUGGACUCCGCAUCUACUCACCACGAUCUGAACUACUCAAUGUGCGUGUGUUGGAGCCUUGGGAAUGCUUCAGCAUUGUGGGCAUUAAGGGCCAGUCACUGCGUCCGACGGAGGUUGGAUCGCUUACCAUUCGAUCUAAUGUCAACAACAAUCACUCGCGAGCCGACCAGGAACUAAGUUGACGCGCCGUUGAUCCGCUAGAUUUGGUUGGAUGCUGGUGGUGAGUUGCCAAACUCAAAGAGUACACUCUGAAGUCGGAUGGGGUGAAUGGCUUAGGGUGCCCCUCUAGCAGGGGAGAGCAGGGAAUUGCCUCGGGAAGGAGGCCACUGGUGAAGCUUAACCACCCUGUAACAACAUCAACAUCAACAAUCAAGCCAUCACAUCCAAAAGGGUCUACGUUGACGAGGAGGCGAUGGUAAAGAUUUUGUCCGUCCGUAUCAUCGACGAUCGCGGAGGUAGCGUCGUCUUCGGUGACGGUCAAGUAAAGGUAUACUUGCAAAAUCAUUUAGUGUUGACCGGUGAACGGGACGGUGAUCUCUACCCCAUUUGCUAUCGAGGUGGAAGUACAGGCACCAUCAGGAGGACGCAGAAUACGAGCUACUGUGACAACGGACAUGGUACAACGUGCACCACCAUGGAUUCCAAGACGGAGAGUGCAACACUUUGGCAUCGGCGUUAUGGACAUCUGGGCUACAGCAACCUCGAGGCGUUGCUGCACCACAAUAUGGUAAUGGGAUUUGACGUCGACCAGCACAGCUUUCAGAAUACCAGUACGUGUGUUUGUGAGACAUGCGUUUUUGCAAAACAGACACGAGGUCCUUUUCUGCUGACAGGGCACAAGGCAGCCCAGCCACUAGCACUAGUUCACAUGUGUGUGGACCUAUGGACCUAUGCCUGAACCUUCGCCUAGUGGUUCGCGUUUAUUGGAGAAUUGGUGACGGUGACGGCUGACGCUGAUUGUUAUUCCGGAAGGAUUGCCAGCGGCGAAGAUAUUGAACACGAGAAAUUGUUACAAGUAAUGUAAAACUGUAAAUUGCGUUCGGCAGGACUUUAGGAGAUUCCUGGUAGGAAUACCGAUCGUUGUGAGAUAAACAAAUAAGCGCAGUCACCACCCUAAAUACCGGCGCUAGCGGAAAACUCGUACAUUCUGCGAUCUAACUGCACGUACAUUCCGCGAUCUCACUGCGCCGUCCUGACGGUGCCCAAAUGUCUAUCACUUAGCUACCGGAUAUGCAUCGGUAGCCCCAUAACGUUCUGGGGUAAGUCGUCCCCAUUAGUCAGACGCAGACCCGGGGUCAAAUCCCUGGUCGACAACCACACGAGUUGGGAGAGUACCGUUUCCUCAACACGCCCCCUCGGGCCGUAUCCCAGCAAGUACCAAGUUCAUCAGCACACUUCACACAAGGCCCAUCACAUCUCGGCAACGUUUGAAUUUCACCUCGCCCAGAGCCUUCGUGAGCACAUCCGCAACCAUCCACUCCGUAGGGCAGUAUUCCAACUGCACCUCACCGCUAUUCACCCUCUCACACACUAUGUGAUGCUGUACGUUGAUGUGCUUCGACCGAGCAGACGUAAUCGGGUUAUUUCCUAAGCUAAGCGCCCCCUGGGAAUCUAUUUGGAUCUUGAUAGCGCUCUCAGGCAAACCCAAGUCAACCAUCAGCUUGCGAAGCCACAAAGCCUCGCGAACAGCUGCCGCUGUCGCUUGAUACUCGGCCUCCACCGACGAAGCCGCCACAGUAUGUUGAAGUUGACUGCUCCAGCUAAUUGCAGCCCAUUAAGAGUUAAAACGUAGCCGGAAGUAGAACGCCGCGUAACUGGGUCUCCUGCCCAGUCAGAAUCGCUAUACCCGGACAUAGCAACGUCGCCAACAUCCCCAAAACGCAAGCCUAGUUCGCGAGUUCCCGCCAGGUAACGCAGAACGCCAAUUGCUAAGUUCAUAGCACACUUCGUGGGUGCGGCCAUAUGCCGGGACAAAACGCUCAAUGCAUACGAAAUGUCAGGCCGCGUGUUCGUCGCCAGAUAGUUCAAUUCUCCCACCAAAGCCCUAUGAGUAUAGGUGGGAUUGCCCAGCAGCUCCUCUCCGUCCCCCUUAGGAGUGUACCUAAAGCCCGGAGGCAAAGGGGUAGACCUCGGCUUGGCGUCAACCAACUUAUGACGCUCCAAUAGCUGCGCAAUAUACCUAUGCUGCGACAACACUAUCUCACCCGACUUCUCCCUCCUAAUUUCCAUGCCCCAAAACACCUUCGUCGCGCACCUUGAAGACCUUCGCAAUUGCGGCUUUUAUUGCCCGGACCAUUUCCGGGUCUUCCGACGCAACAAUGGUUCUCAUCUACGUACACCAAAGCAAUAACAACCCCACGCUCGUCAGUCUUAACAAACAUCGCCGGAUCAGACUCGAAGGAUAAAGACCCAGCUUGGCACUCUGCUGAUAGUUUCUCAUACCAGCAACGGGGUGCCUGCUUCAAACCGUAAAUCGACUUCUGCAGCUUGCACGCAAGCGACCGGUCACUGGAUGCAUACCCAGGCGGUUGCUCCAUCCACAACUCCUCCUUCAGCUCACCGUUCAAAAACGCAGUAGACACAUCGAGCUGGUGCACCGUCAUGUUCCAUGCUGCGGCAACUGCUAAUAGAGCACGUAAAGAUGAACCACGAGAGGUAGGGGCAAACAACUCCCCAUAAUCAAUCCCCUCGCGUUGUUCGAAACCCUUUGCAACUAAACGCGCCUUGAAACGUUCCACAUUACCGUCUGCAUCAUGCUUCACCUUAUACACCCACCGACAAGGCAGUAAACGUGUACCAGGCGGCGGCUUCUUAAACUCCCAGGUAUGGUUGGCCAUCUGAGCGGCGAUCUCCUCAUCCAUCGCACGCCGCCAGUCGUCUGCAUGUGGACUUGCAAUUCCGCAAACGAAUUAGGUUCAGGAAUACCAGCAGAGAAAGCUGCAUUGACGCGACCAGUGACAGUGCGACCAGGUUCGCUUCGCCACCAUUCGCCAGGGCGUUUACGUUUUCUAACUGGAUACCGGGUCCCUGCCAUUUCCACAUCAGGCUGAUUGCUACCUUGCACGUUCGCACUGCUGGAUGGUCCAGCCCCAGCCGGCGCCCCCUCGCCACCCAAAUGCGGCGAUCCCUCGCCGACGUUGCUACCUGGUAUCCCUUCGCCAGCCCUAGGCAGCGAUCCCUCACCAGGCAAGCUAGUGCGAAAAUCCUCCUCCUCGUCGGCAUCGGACUCAUAAUCGGAGUACCCGGCAUAACGCCGCCGGCCGACGUUAGACUCAUCAAAGCGAACGUUAGAAACUACGGCAAUAAUGCCAUCCUCGUACAGCACGCGGUACUGUCCUCCGUUCCUGUAACUGACAAGUAUUCCACGCCUGCUCACCGGAUCGAACUUGUCGCGUUUGACGUCAGGUACGUGGAUGUAAGCGACGCACCCAAAAACUCGAAGGUGACUGACGUUAGGACGGACGUUCAAGAAAGCUUCAUACGGCGUGACAGUUGACCCAGCAGUUGGCGACACAUUCCUGAGGUAAUUGGCUGUCACCAACGCUUCCGCCCAUAAUGACUUAGGUAGUCCGGACUCGACAAGCAUAGCCCUAGCGCGAGAUUAUGGCUAGCUGCUGAGAUGUGGAGUUCACAGUUGAUGGACCAGAUUCGCACGCUAGAUUGGUGGCGAUUGCCGAACCCUCCGUCUCUUCGGGUGUUCGGGUGAAUGGAUGAGGAGGGGUCCCUGAAUCCGCCGCCUUGGACUUACAGUUCGUAUGGCGAAGUACAGUGUGGAAGUGGUGGAUGGUGCUAUAAUAAGGUGAUAAAUGAUCGUAGAACUGACAAUGUGAUAAAGCGGCCCAGAAGCCUCCCACUCUGUAACAAUACAACAUCCAUGUGAACUAGUGCUAGUGGCUGGGCUGCCUUGUGCCCUGUCAGCGGAAAAGGACCUCGUGUCUGUUUUGCAAAAACGUAGGUCUCACAAAAACACAUGCUGGCUUUCUGAAAGCUGUGCUGGUCAACGUCAAAUCCCAUUACCAUAUUGUGGCGCAGCAACGCCUCGAGGUUGCUGUAGCCCAGAUGUCCGUAACGCCGAUGCCAAAGCGUUGCACGCUCCGUCUUGGAAUCCACAGCGGUGCACGUUGUACCAUGUCCGUUGUCACAGUAGCUCGUAUUCUGCGUCCUCCUGAUGGUGCCUGUACUUCCACCUCGAUAGCUUGGUCUGGUCUGGUGGCGCCACCUUGGUCUGGUCUGGUGGCGCCUUCGUGUAUAUGAAGGUUCCGGGUUCGAUUCCUGGUCAGACCCCCGACAUUGUUCGGGAGGUCUAGGUUUACUAACGCUGCUGAGGUGUGGAGAUGAGGUCUAGUUGAUGGACUAAGUUUCGCAUGCUGAGAUGGUGGUGGUGGCUGAUCUGUCUCUACGGAUGUUGGGUGACUGGAUGAGGAGGGGUCUAGUUGGCAGGACCCAAACCGCCGUCGGUCGUACGGUGUAAUCAACUUUCAAUACAUAUAGUCCAUGGCCUCCCGGCUUUGACGGACACCCCCGCACUCGUGCGGCACUUGUAACUUGUAACUUGAUAGCAAAUGGGGUAGAGAUCACCGUCCCGUUCACUGGUCAACACUCAAUGAUUUUGCAAGUAUACCUUUACUUGACCGUCACCGAAGACGAUGCUGCCUCCACGAUCGUCGAUGAUACGGACGGACAAAAUCUUUACCAUCGCCUCCUCGUCAACGUAGACCCUUUUGAAUGUGAUGGCUUGAUUGUCGUUGACAUUAGAUCGAAUGGUAAGUGAUCCAACCUCCGUCGGACGCAGUGACUGGUGUGAAUGCCCACAAUGCUGAAGCGUUCCCAAGGCUCCAACACACAUACAUAUAGUUCGGAUCGGGCGUAAGUUACGUGGUGAGUAAAUGCGGAGUCCAGAAACCAUUCCGUCGGACGCUCGUUGUUGAUGUUGAUGUUGUUACAGGGUGGUUAAGCUUCACCAGUGGCCUCCUUCCCGAGGCAAUUCCCUGCUCUCCCCUGCUAGAGGGGCACCCUAAGCCAUUCACCCCAUCCGACUUCAGAGUGUACUCUUUGAGUUUGGCAACUCACCACCAGCAUCCAACCAAAUCUAGCGGAUCAACGGCGCGUCAACUUAGUUCCUGGUCGGCUCGCGAGUUGAUUUUAUCACGUCCUACACCGUCCACAAGAUGGGGGGCCACCUCCCAUUUCAUCACCUCUCAAACACCCCGAGAGGUCGGCAGGCGGAUUUGAACCCAGACGCGCCGGGACGCGUCGGGAGCAGAAGCCAGGCCUUAACCUCUGCCGUUGUUGUAUGCCACGAAUGCUACCUGCCGCGGAACACCUGGCCCCCUAGCUGAUCCACCGGAUCCUGGCUUGCUGCCGCUAGCUCCGCUGCCACUGUUGUUGUAGCCACCCUUAUAUCCAGAAAUUGACGACUGCUUGAGCGCUUUAAGCUGCCUGCAGUUCUUUAUCACAUGCCCAGGCUUAUUACAGUAGUAGGCCCCGUACCUACAUUAACCCUAUCUAUUCUAGGGACAGCGAUUCAGACGACGAAAUCAUGCAGAACCUUUACCCCACCCUCGACCCGUUCCAGCACAACGGGUUGGAUGACUUCCUCACUAAGGUUUUCCAGCAAGGAGUUGCCUACCCUCUCACUAGGAACAACUUAUCUGUUGAGAGCCUCAAAUCGUACCUUGACGCACUGCCUGGUCGUAACACGCCAUUCGAGGCGUUAGGGUUUUAGGGUUUUAAACCCUAAAACCCUACAACUCCCACACACAUGACCUCAUAGCCAAAGCUGCAUCGCACUUCAGAGUAGCUGAACCAGGUUCGGCGGCCAACGCCAUCUCUCCCCGCCAACUAUACGACUACUACGCCCACAUUUUAGAGGAAAACUUUGCCUCCGCGCGCGCGGAAAGUGAUCUAGCGCGCUUCAAAAGCAUUCAGCAGGGAGCUCUUUCUCCGAUAGUCCUUAGGGAUAUGCUGUUAGCGCUUGAGAAGAAGCUAGACGGCAGAGUGAGCAAACACCAGGUCGCGGAACGCUUUCUUGAGGGCUUAAAUCCCAUGGUUCGGCAUCACCUGGAAAGGCACCUCAUUACCGUGGGCGUACCAAGUGGUACGAUCGCUUGGAGAAGACGGCACAAGAGGCUGAGGUUGUGUGAAACAACCUUCCGUUGGAGGACAGAGCAGUGCAGGUACACAAAAAGUCGCCGCAGCAGAAGAGUGUAGCAAAACCGCCUAUCAAGGAAAAACGCACCUUCUACUGCGAGAAGCACGGCACCAAUGCAUCUCACGAUACGGCGCAGUGCCGUGUCUUAAAUCCCCCAAAGACGAAGUCGGCGCUUUUGACCUCUGACAUCCCCUCCGGUAUUGUUGAGCGUUUGAUUGCCUUGAUUUCUCAGGGACAGGGCAGCGCGUCGACUUCAGGGGGGUCCAGGGGAAUGGGCGGGCAAAAGCUCAAGGGGGCUGGGCCAUCUAAGCCCAAGCAGGGACAGGGUGCUAGCGAAUCGCGGGGGAAUAGGCCAUCUUGCGAGUUCUGCGGAACCAUGGGUCACCAGCAGAGCAAGUGCUUCGUUUUCCACCCCGAGCUCGCUCCCGCGGACUACGAGCCUGCUAACCCUGCCCUGAAGGUUUUUUUUCUGCAGCGCAAGAAGGCGGUUGAAAGAAAGGCGGCCUUGGCGGCGGCUGUUGCCGCAGCUUUCGAGGACGACUUCGCAGCAGACGACGAGGGGAAUGAGGAGGCGGCCUGCUGCACGACGCAGUUCCAUGAAGCAGCGUCGAACGCCUCUCCCAGCCAGCAGGCCAGGAUGGCGCCGCUCACAUGGACGCGCAGCGCACAAGAGGUAAGGUACAACAGCUUAGCCACUAUGCAUUCGCAGGCUGUUCCUAAGUCCUUCACUCCCGCCCCUUCAGUCAUAAAGCAAUAUCCGCCACCGACACCACCCGUGGCGAACAACUCAAAACGCACUCACACACCGCUAGAUGACAAUCUUCUCUUGCGUAAAAUUUCCGACAUGCCUGUCGGCACUUUCUUUAACCUGCUUUGCCAACAGGGUUGCCUUCCACCGGCGGCCCCCUAGACGCUAAACCCCAUCCCUCAAGUACGGUCCAUGCAACGCAGGGUUCCAGCUCAGUUUCGAGCAGCUUUGGGGAGGGAUCUUUCACACCUUAGGCCGACAAGAGUGUGCAGCGCGCCAUUGUUCCGGCGGCAGCACCGGAGCUGGUCACGCCAUCUCCACUUGAUUCUGGCCUGGCGUCUUCUGCCCUGGCGGCCCAAGGGCGCGCCAAACCCUCCGACCACCUUGGCGCCGGUUUUGAGUAACAGGUAAGUGGGGUUAGUUCCGCGCACUUUGUUGGAGCUCUCGCCUGAUGAGCAGGAGCAGGCUUUAGCUGUUAAUCCGUCGGCGGCGCGUUACAUGGGGGAGCCCGAGGGCCUUUACUACUACGAAACGGGGGCGUGUGGAUUGGUUCAGGGGCAGGGUUUUAGGGACGACAGGGCAGCUCCGGAGGCGUUGCGUGAUUUUGCCGCAACGGUAAACGUAAUGCCAAACAGUUCGGUUCCACUUUCCUUUUCCUUCUUACGUAUGCCACUUUCUUUGUGGACGCAUUUAACGUGUGUCUUGUUAGCCCCGUUCUCACGGCGGCUGAUGCCAUCCUUUCGCAUACGGCAAACAAUUUAAUAAAUCACGCGUGCCUUGCCACACGACCCAUGCCUCUUCGCGCCACCCAGGAAAGCGAAAGAAGCCACUGUAUAGGCGUAGGUGUUUGUUAGGUAAACCCGCAUUACAGCCACGUAGCGACUGGCACUUUGCUUCGUUUGCUCUCGUUGCGUCCCUGUUGCUAACUCUAGCCGCAGGAGUGCAGGUGCCAACUGGGAUCAGCAGCUGGCUUACAUCAUGUUGGGUUACAACUGUUCGAAGCAGCAGUCUACUGGUUUCAGCCCAUACAGUCUGCUCCACGGAGUUCAGCCUACAAUAUCACCCGCGGUGAAGCAGCGCUUUGAGGAUGACAUCUCCUUCGAUUCGCUGGAGGAGGCUUUUGAUGCUCUCCUUAAGCGUGGCGAGGCUAUGCGUCGUAGCAUGAGUAUUGCAGGGGAAAAUUUACUUAUCGCCCAGCACAGGGAUACGUUACGAUAUGCAGCUUUGCGUGGUGGGGGUAACCAUCCUAGGUGGUGCAGGUUUGAUGUAGGGAAUUACGUUUAUUAUCGUAAUACUGUUGAGGAAACGGUCCUCUCCCAACUCGUGAGGUUGUCGACCAGGGGAUUUGACCCCGGGUCUGCGCCUGUCUAAUGGGGAAGACUUACCCCAGAACCUUAUGGGGCUACCGAUGCAUAUCCGGUAGCUAAGUGAUAGACAUUAGGGCACCGUCUGGACGACGCAGUGAGAUCGCGGAAUGUACGUGCAGUUAGAUCGCGGAAUGUACGAGUUUUCCGCUAGCGCCGGUAUUUAGGGCGGUGACUGCGCUUAUUUGUUUAUCUCACAACGAUCGGUAUUCCUACCAGGAAUCUCCUCAAGUCCUGCCGAACGCUAACAAUACUCUUUACAUUACUUGUAACAGUUUAUCGUGCUAAAUAUCUUCGUCACCGGCAAUCCUUCCGAAAUAACAAUCAGCGUUAGCCGUCACCGUCGCCAAUUCUUCAAUAGGUUAUGAGCCCCGUUUAGCGCCGACAGUUAUCGCCCCAUUGUUAUUUCUAUCCCUCAUCAACAAUGGUUAAGGACAAGCUUGAUGAGUCGCUGGAUCUCAACAACUACUCUACCUGGCAAAUUCGGUUCAGCGCGUUGUGCAUGGAGCUUGGGCUUGAGCAAUCCCUGCUCGCCGAGCCGUGCAACGAGGAGCAAAUUCGGCAGUCACGGAAGGUCAUCAAUCUGCUCAUCAAGAACGUCAAGGAUCAUCAUUUGCCGAUGGUUACCGGUGCUGCCAACGCGAAGAAGGCCUGGGACGCCUUGGGAUCUAUGUUUGCUGCCAACAACAACGCCCGCAAGGUGUCUCUACGUCAAGAAUUCAGCCGUUUUAAGAUGGUCGACGGCGAACCUCUUCCGAUGUACUUUGCGCGUGCAAGGCAGCUGCAAACAGAUUUAUUGGGAGUCGGCCACGUAGUUAACGACUCCGAGCUGGCGUACACCGUGCUAGUUGGUCUACCCAGUCGGUACAGCGUGGUGACGACUACAUUACUUAUGCGCGACGGCGAUUUGGACAUGGCGAGCGUCACAGCAAAGCUUCUCUCUAUCGAGACGGCUAACGGUGGGUCGGGCAAGCCUACCGAGUCGGCAGCCUUCGCGUCUGUUGGCGGUUCGACGUUCGGCGCUUCUACUUCUGGUUAUGGUAGCCGGGGGCCGGCUAACAACAGCUCGGGACAUAGUCGGAAGCAAGUCAUCUGCUACUACUGUAAUAAACCUGGGCACGUGGUUAAGGACUGCAGACAGCUUAAGGCGCUGAAGCAGUCGUCAAAUUCUGGCUACAAGGGUGGCUACAGCAACAGUGGUAACGGAGGUAGUGGCAGCGGAGCUAGCGGCAGCAAGCCAGGAUCCGGUGGAUCAGCUAGGAGGCCAGGAGUUCCGCGGCAGGUAGCAUUCGUGGCAUACAACAGCAAUCGUCCGACGGAAUGGUUUCUGGACUCAGCCGCCACUCACCACAUAACUUAUGACCGCUCAGAACUUUUCAACAUGCGGUUGUUGGAGCCGUGGGAGCGCUUCAACAUCAUGGGCAUCAAGGGACAAUCUCUUCGACCGACUGAAGUUGGCACGCUCACGAUUCGGUCUAACGUCAACGAUAAACAGGCCAUCACUUUCAAGAAGGUCUACGUCGACGAGGAGGCCACCGCCAAAAUCAUAUCGGUACGCAUCAUUGAUGAUCGUGGAGGCAGUGUGGUCUUCGAUGGCGGACAGGCGAAAGUAUACGUACAGAACCAGUUGGUGCUGACUGGAAAGCGGGAUGGGGACUUGUAUCCCGUCUGCUACAGCAGUGGAGGUACGGGAGCUCUGAAGAGGACGCAGCAUGAUGACAACAGGAUACCUUCUGGUGGUGAUGCAGUGUGUGCUGCCGUGGGUAUCGGAGCUGAACGUGCAGCACUUUGGCACCGAAGGUAUGGCCACUUGGGAUACAGCAACCUUGAGACGUUGCUGCGUCAUAAUAUGGUAGCUGGAUUUGAUGUUGACCGACACAGCAUACAAUCAGCCAGCACGUGUGUGUGUGAGACUUGCGUCCUUGCUAAACAUACACGUGGUCCUUUUCCGUUAUCUGGGCAAAAGGCAGCGCAGCCUCUCGCGCUAAUUCACAUGGAUGUGUGUGGGCCUAUGCCUGAACCUUCACCUAGUGGUUCACGUUACGUGACAACUCUGCUUGACGAUCAUACUGGUCUUUCAGCUGUUGCGUUUACAGCGACCAAGGAGGAGGUCUACCAGAAGAUGGUGGUAAUGAUAGCGGAACUGGAGCGCGCUACUGGCAGGCAGGUUAAGGAGGUGCGUACAGAUCGUGGCGGGGAGUUCGUUAAUAUUCGCACGAAGGCCUAUUUCGCUUCCAGGGGUAUUCUACACGGAACUACGGUAGGCUACACCCCUGAGCAGAACGGAGCUGCAGAACGUUUAAAUCGCACUCUUUUGGACAAGACUAGGGCUAUGCUAGUUGAGUCUGGACUGCCUAAAUCAUUAUGGGCGGAGGCGUUAGCGACAGCCAACUAUCUUAGGAAUGUGUCGCCAACUGCUGGGUCAACCGUCACUCCGUACGAAGCUUUCUUUAACGUUCGUCCGAACGUCAGUCACCUGCGAGUCUUUGGAUGCGUUGCCUACGUCCACGUACCCGAUGUCAAGCGCGACAAGUUCGACCCGGUGAGCAGGCGUGGAAUACUUGUCGGAUACGGGAACGGUGGACAGUAUCGUGUACUAUACGAGGACGGCAUUAUUGCCGUAGUUUCUAACGUUCGUUUUGACGAGUCUAAUGUCGGCCGGCGGCGUAAUGCCGGGGACUCCGAUUAUGAGUCCGAUGCCGACGAGGAGGAGGAGUUUCGCACUAGUUUAUCUGGUGAGGGAUCGCUGCCUAGGGCUGGCGAAGGGACACCAGGUAGCACCGUCGGCGAGGGAUCGCCGCAUUUGGGUGGCGAGGGGGCGCCGGCUGGGGCUGGACCUUCCAGCAGUGCGAACGGGCAAGGAAUCAAUCAGCCUGAUGUGGAAAUGGCGGGAACUAGGUACCCAGUUAGAGAGCGUAAACGCCCUGGCGAAUGGUGGCGAAACGAACCUGGUCGCACUGUCACUGGUCGCGUUAACGCUGCUUUCUCUGCUGGUAUUCCUGAGCCUAAUUCGUUUGAGGAAGCAAUUGCUAGUCCACAUGCAGACGACUGGAGGCGUGCGAUGGACGAGGAGAUCGCCGCCCAGAUGGCUAACAGUACUUGGGAGCUGAAGACGCCACCUCCUGGUACUCGUUUGUUGCCGUGUCGUUGGGUAUAUAAGGUUAAGUACAGCGAUGACGGCAGUGUGGAGCGUUUUAAGGCGCGUUUAGUUGCCAAGGGUUUCGAGCAACGUGAGGAGAUUGAUUAUGGGGAGUUGUUUGCCCCUACCUCUCGUGGUUCGUCAUUGCGUGCUUUAUUAGCAGUUGCCGCAGCCCGGAACAUGACAGUACAUCAGCUCGAUGUGUCUACUGCGUUUCUGAAUGGUGAGCUGAAGGAGGAGUUGUGGAUGGAGCAACCGCCUGGGUAUGCAUCCAGUCUGGUCUGGGUUGACACUACUGCGAUUCGCGGUUUAAGGUCCUGGGUUCGAUUCCUGGGGAGACCCCCGAAUUAGUCGGGAGCGCGAGAUUAUGGCUAGCUGCUGAAAUGUGGAGUUGAGGUCGCAGUUGAUGGACCAGAUUCGCACGCUAGAUUGGUGGCGAUUGCCGAACCCUCCGUCUCUUCGGGUGUUCGGGUGAAUGGAUGAGGAGGGGUCCUAGACGGCUGGACCCGCCGCCUUGGACUUACAGUUCGUAUGGCGAAGUAUAGUGUGGUAGUGGUGGACGGUGCUAUAAGAUGAUACAUCGUAGAACUGACAAUGUGAUAAAACGGCCCAGAAGCCCCCCACUCUGUAACAUUACAUUACAUUGCAUCCAGUGACCGGUCGCUUGCGUGCAAGCUGCAGAAGUCUAUUUACGGUUUAAAGCAGGCACCCCGUUGCUGGUAUGAAAAACUAUCAGCAGGGUUCGCCAAGUUGGGUCUUUAUCCUUCGAAGUCUGAUCCGGCGAUGUUUGUUAAGACGGACGAGCGUGGGGUUGUUAUUGCUUUGGUGCACGUAGAUGAUACAAUUGUUGCGUCGGAAGACCCGGAAAUGGUCCGGGCAAUUAAAACCGCAAUUGCGAAGGUCUUCAAGGUGCGCGACCUUGGAGAAGCGAAGGUGUUUUUGGGCAUGGAAAUUAGGAGGGAGAAGUCGGGUGAGAUAGUGUUGUCGCAGCAUAGGUAUAUUGCGCAGCUGUUGGAGCGUCAUAGGAUGAUUGACGCCAAGCCGAGGUCUACCCCUUUGCCUCCGGGCUUUAGGUACACUCCUAAGGGGGACGAAGAGGAGCUGCUGGGCAAUCCCACCGAGUAUAGGGCUUUGGUGGGAGAAUUGAACUAUCUGGCGACGAACACGCGGCCUGACAUUUCAUAUGCAUUGAGCGUUUUGUCCCGGCAUAUGGCCGCACCCACGAAGUGUGCCAUGAACCUGGCAACUGGCGUUCUGCGUUACCUGGCGGGGACUCGCGAACUAGGAUUGCGUUUUGGGGGUGUUGGCGACGUUGCUAUGUCCGGGUACAGUGAUUCUGACUGGGCAGGAGACCCAGUUACGCGGCGUUCUACGUCCGGUUACGUUUUCACUCUUAAUGGGGCUGCGAUUAGCUGGAGCAGCCAACUCAACGUACUGUGGCGGCUUCAUCGGUGGAGGCCGAGUAUCAAGCGACAGCGGCAGCUGUUCGUGAGGCUUUGUGGCUUCGCUUGUGGUUGAUUUGGGUUUGCCUGAGAGCGCUAUCAAGAUCCAAAUAGAUUCCCAAGGGGCGCUUAGCUUAGGAAAUAACCCGAUUACGUCUGCUCGGUCGAAGCACAUCGACGUGCAGCAUCACAUAGUGCGUGAAAGGGUGAAUAGCGGUGAGGUGCAGUUGGAGUACUGCCCUACGGAGUGGAUGGUUGCGGAUGUACUAACGAAGGCUCUGGGCGAGGUGAAGUUCAAACGUUGCCGAGAUGCUAUGGGCCUUGUCUGAAGUGUGCAGAUGAACUUGGUACUCGUUGGGAUACGGCCCGAGGGGGCGUGUUAAGGAAACGGUCCUCUCCCAACUCGUGUGGUUGUCGACCAGGGGAUUUGACCCCGGGUCUACGCCUGACUAAUGGGGAAGACUUACCCCAGAACCUUAUGGGGCUACCGAUGCAUAUCCGGUAGCUAAGUGAUAGACAUUAGGGCACCGUCUGGACGGCGCAGUGAGAUCGCGGAAUGUACGUGCAGUUAGAUCGCGGAAUGUACGAGUUUUCCGCUAGCGCCGGUAUUUAGGACGGUGACUGCGCCUAUUAGUUUAUCUCACAACGAUCGGUAUUCCUACUAGGAAUCUCCUCAAGUCCUGCCGAACGUUAACAAUACUCUUUACAUUACUUGUAACAGUUUAUCGUGCUAAAUAUCUUCGCCACCGGCAAUCCUUCCGAAAUAACAAUCAGCGUUAGCCGUCACCGUCGCCAAUUCUUCAAUACUAGUUCGCGUACGGCGUUAGAUCAUAAGGUUCAACCUGCCGUACUUCGCGUUAGUGAGGUGCGUCCCAGCGGCGUACUUGUUCUGCAAGGUCNNNNNNNNNNNNNNNNNNNNNNNNNNNNNNNNNNNNNNNNNNNNNNNNNNAGAUGGCUAACAGUACUUGGGAGCUGAAGACGCCACCUCCUGGUACUCGUUUGUUGCCGUGUCGUUGGGUAUAUAAGGUUAAGUACAGCGAUGACGGCAGUGUGGAGCGUUUUAAGGCGCGUUUAGUUGCCAAGGGUUUCGAGCAACGUGAGGAGAUUGAUUAUGGGGAGUUGUUUGCCCCUACCUCUCGUGGUUCGUCAUUGCGUGCUUUAUUAGCAGUUGCCGCAGCCCGGAACAUGACAGUACAUCAGCUCGAUGUGUCUACUGCGUUUCUGAAUGGUGAGCUGAAGGAGGAGUUGUGGAUGGAGCAACCGCCUGGGUAUGCAUCCAGUCUGGUCUGGGUUGACACUACUGCGAUUCGCGGUUUAAGGUCCUGGGUUCGAUUCCUGGGGAGACCCCCGAAUUAGUCGGGAGCGCGAGAUUAUGGCUAGCUGCUGAAAUGUGGAGUUGAGGUCGCAGUUGAUGGACCAGAUUCGCACGCUAGAUUGGUGGCGAUUGCCGAACCCUCCGUCUCUUCGGGUGUUCGGGUGAAUGGAUGAGGAGGGGUCCUAGACGGCUGGACCCGCCGCCUUGGACUUACAGUUCGUAUGGCGAAGUAUAGUGUGGUAGUGGUGGACGGUGCUAUAAGAUGAUACAUCGUAGAACUGACAAUGUGAUAAAACGGCCCAGAAGCCCCCCACUCUGUAACAUUACAUUACAUUGCAUCCAGUGACCGGUCGCUUGCGUGCAAGCUGCAGAAGUCUAUUUACGGUUUAAAGCAGGCACCCCGUUGCUGGUAUGAAAAACUAUCAGCAGGGUUCGCCAAGUUGGGUCUUUAUCCUUCGAAGUCUGAUCCGGCGAUGUUUGUUAAGACGGACGAGCGUGGGGUUGUUAUUGCUUUGGUGCACGUAGAUGAUACAAUUGUUGCGUCGGAAGACCCGGAAAUGGUCCGGGCAAUUAAAACCGCAAUUGCGAAGGUCUUCAAGGUGCGCGACCUUGGAGAAGCGAAGGUGUUUUUGGGCAUGGAAAUUAGGAGGGAGAAGUCGGGUGAGAUAGUGUUGUCGCAGCAUAGGUAUAUUGCGCAGCUGUUGGAGCGUCAUAGGAUGAUUGACGCCAAGCCGAGGUCUACCCCUUUGCCUCCGGGCUUUAGGUACACUCCUAAGGGGGACGAAGAGGAGCUGCUGGGCAAUCCCACCGAGUAUAGGGCUUUGGUGGGAGAAUUGAACUAUCUGGCGACGAACACGCGGCCUGACAUUUCAUAUGCAUUGAGCGUUUUGUCCCGGCAUAUGGCCGCACCCACGAAGUGUGCCAUGAACCUGGCAACUGGCGUUCUGCGUUACCUGGCGGGGACUCGCGAACUAGGAUUGCGUUUUGGGGGUGUUGGCGACGUUGCUAUGUCCGGGUACAGUGAUUCUGACUGGGCAGGAGACCCAGUUACGCGGCGUUCUACGUCCGGUUACGUUUUCACUCUUAAUGGGGCUGCGAUUAGCUGGAGCAGCCAACUCAACGUACUGUGGCGGCUUCAUCGGUGGAGGCCGAGUAUCAAGCGACAGCGGCAGCUGUUCGUGAGGCUUUGUGGCUUCGCUUGUGGUUGAUUUGGGUUUGCCUGAGAGCGCUAUCAAGAUCCAAAUAGAUUCCCAAGGGGCGCUUAGCUUAGGAAAUAACCCGAUUACGUCUGCUCGGUCGAAGCACAUCGACGUGCAGCAUCACAUAGUGCGUGAAAGGGUGAAUAGCGGUGAGGUGCAGUUGGAGUACUGCCCUACGGAGUGGAUGGUUGCGGAUGUACUAACGAAGGCUCUGGGCGAGGUGAAGUUCAAACGUUGCCGAGAUGCUAUGGGCCUUGUCUGAAGUGUGCAGAUGAACUUGGUACUCGUUGGGAUACGGCCCGAGGGGGCGUGUUAAGGAAACGGUCCUCUCCCAACUCGUGUGGUUGUCGACCAGGGGAUUUGACCCCGGGUCUACGCCUGACUAAUGGGGAAGACUUACCCCAGAACCUUAUGGGGCUACCGAUGCAUAUCCGGUAGCUAAGUGAUAGACAUUAGGGCACCGUCUGGACGGCGCAGUGAGAUCGCGGAAUGUACGUGCAGUUAGAUCGCGGAAUGUACGAGUUUUCCGCUAGCGCCGGUAUUUAGGACGGUGACUGCGCCUAUUAGUUUAUCUCACAACGAUCGGUAUUCCUACUAGGAAUCUCCUCAAGUCCUGCCGAACGUUAACAAUACUCUUUACAUUACUUGUAACAGUUUAUCGUGCUAAAUAUCUUCGCCACCGGCAAUCCUUCCGAAAUAACAAUCAGCGUUAGCCGUCACCGUCGCCAAUUCUUCAAUACUAGUUCGCGUACGGCGUUAGAUCAUAAGGUUCAACCUGCCGUACUUCGCGUUAGUGAGGUGCGUCCCAGCGGCGUACUUGUUCUGCAAGGUCAAGACGGUCAAACCAUGCAAACGCAUUUUGAUGCACUGUGCACCUUGUCAUUUGCCCAUUUUAGACGAGGCUAUCGAUCCUCGCUUGUCCCGACCUCAUGCUAAUUUGUCCUGUGAGGUUUGCAAAAUGCCUGAUGCUUCUCUGUGAUAAGUGUGGGACGGGUUGGCACACUUAUUGCCUUAAGCCGCCUCUCAAACAAAUCCCUUGGGUGUGUCCUAAUUGUCUUUCUAAAGGCAUCACCGUAGCACAAAUAAACUCACGAUCUUUAGAUAACUCUGGUAGUAAUUCCAAUAAAUCGAGCACUAAGCCUGUUCCUCCGCAAUAUCUUGCCGAACUACAAGGGUCACGAGUAUUUGGAUCUAAUUCCGGACCCUCUGGCAGUCGUGCCGCGAGAACCGGUGUCGCUACCUAUGCCGGUAAACGAGGCAGGAAGCAUUUCUUCGAGGUGCUUUAUCAGGACGGCGAAUUGGAGCUGGUGGAUGUUGUGCAGCUGCGCAAUAUGCUUGCACCUAAGUCUGCCCGCCCAGGGCGAGCGGUGGGAGUAGCAGCGGUUGCAGCAGCCGCAUUGAAGCUGGAGCACUGGAGUUUGGAUUCAGCCGCGGACGUUCCGAUGGCGCUGGAUCUGGCUAUGGCGGGAGACCACUCAGUAUUCAAGAUAGCUUUGGUCACCAAUCAAUUAUUCGAGCAACGUCUUCUACUUCCGUCCGUACCACAGCGGCAUGUCGACGUGUUGCGAGGAGCGUUGCGUUGGAGCUUACGUAAUUCUGCCUUACGAGGCGCGCGCGUCUUAAAGGAAAGCCGGUAAAAUUCAGUGAUCCCUUGUCGCCUCAGUUUUACGAUGGCGUAGAUAAGCAGUUUACAUCUGUAGACGCAGCAGUGUUGUCAAUUACUGGAGCGUUGUUAGAUUUGGCAAUUCCAGCAGCGAUUAAGUUGGUUAAGGGCUUUGUGGUCGCUAGAGUUCCGGUUAAUCACAUAUCGGGUGCUGAUGAAGCGCGCAUGAAGUGGUUGCGCACUCUGCAGGAUAAGGAUUGUUUGUUGAUGUUGAGUUGUCCUUCCGUUGAGUCUGAGUACCAGUCUUUUAUCUGGCUGAUUGUGUUCACCAAUCCGGUUAUCAAGCGUGUGAUUUUGAAGGAUAGCAGCUUAGCUGAGCAAUUACUUUGAGGGUCCGCUUUCCACGGGCAUUCACCAUCUCGGCUUCGCCCGCUGGGGGGGGAGUCUGCCGUACGCACGUGUUUUGUUCGGUGCUACAGUCGCUACAGUAUGACGCGACAGCUGUCACGACAUUUUAGCGCCACGUUCAUUUUACCGUCUUUCAUAAUCGUCUUAGGUUAUUAUUGGUAUGAUUACGCGAAUUUCGCUAAUCGACUUCUGGACAAGACGCGAAUGUACGCUCGUUUGCGUAUGUUUAUGUAUUUUACUUGUACUGAAUUGUUCAUUUCUUGUGUGAAUGUUCUGUCACACGGUUAUAAGGUGUUUCACUUGUGUCAUUUGUGGACUAUACGUCGUGGUCGUACUCGAGGCUUAUCUUUUGAGGGCCUCCUGUGAUCGACAGUGUGACUUCGGUAUUUAUAGCCACAGCGAGCUUGGAAAAGUCGCUUUUUAUGGCUCUCUUAUGGCCUAUGCCCAUGCAGGAGGCAACGCCCAUCAACGCCCAUCAACGCCCAUAGCCUUCACGCCGGGCACACUCAGAAUGUGUGUGUGUGUGGUUGUUACAGUGGGCUCCAGACUCCCGAAGAGUAGAGCAAUCGGGCCAGCUGGCCGUGCACUGCAGUAGAGACUAAUAUACCAAUAGAGACCAUCACCUCAGAUAAUUAACCGCUCAUCGGUAACCGCUCCCUUGAUCACAGCAAUUUGCCAGAUAUAAUUCUCAAGAAGGGGUGAUGUGCGCCAACAGAAUCCCAACCUUUCCGUGGAAUUCCCAAAGCUGCGAAACCCUGAAUGCGGCCCCAAAAGUCAACAAUAACUCGACAAAUGGCUUCUUCCGAAAGGGAAGGGCCAGGUAACAGUGCCGGGUUGGUUUUCAUGUUUGCAGUGUUGAAGGGCGGUCCUAUCCCAAGAUAGGUAGUUAGGCGAUGAAUCCGCCGUGAUAGGCGAUGCCUCGGACAUGCCUCGACCUUGCCUCGGCCGUGCCUCGACCUUGCCUCGGGUCUCUCGGCCGCGUAUCUUGGACGUGUCCUCAGGUCCAGGGAUGGUGGACGACUGUACGAUACUUCCGUUGGUAUCGGUACAUAAGGCCAGAGUGGUGCAUGUCUUUCUAUCUCAUCUUCGGAUGGAUCGGUAUUCCUUCAUAGGAAUCUCCUAAAGUCUUCUUGCCGUUCACCACUAACCCACAGACUGUAACCCUUAUAUCGCGACCAGUCUACUUGCCUCCUUCAUAUUCUUAACAGGUUAUGAGUCCCGGCUCACGCUAGUAGCUUACAUAGCUAGCGUGAAGAAGGCAUAGGACGCCUGCAAGCAAUUACAGUCGGACUUGUUUGGGAGUGGGACACGUUAGCAGCGAUUCUGAGCGGGCACAGACUUUGCUUGUUGGUUUGCCCAGCCGCUUCAGCAUGGUAACGACAUCCCUACUGGUGCGUGACGGUGAUUCGGACGUGGCUAUCGUCAACUCGAUAUUUUUGACAAUCGAGAUGGCAAGCGAUGGCUCUGGUAAGCCUACCGAGUCGGCAGCUUUUGCUUCUGUCGGCAGUUUUUCGUUUGGCGCCUCUGGUUCUGGUCUUGAGAAUCGUAGCGCGGCCAGCAGCAGUUCUGGCGUUCCUCUCAAAGAGGUGAUUUGCUUCUAUCGCAGCAAGACUGGGCCCGGUGGGUCUAGCAAGGGAUCAGUUUUCCUGGAGCAGGUUGCGUUUGUAGCUUACAUCAGUAAGCGUCUGAGGGAUCCUGGCCGAAUAUGGGAAUGGAGGACAGUAUCGUGUUGUGCACGUCACCAAUGUCCGCCUUGAUGAGUUUAAUGUCGGCCGGCGGCACAAUGCCAGGGAUGCUGAUGAUGGGUCCGAUGCCGACGAGGGUUGCACACUAGGUUGCCUGGUGAGGGGUCGCUGCCUAGGGCUGGCGAAUGGACAUUAGGCAAUACCGUCAACACGGGAUCGCCGCAUCUGGGUGGCGAGGGGGCGCUGGCUGGGGCUGGACCUCCCAGAAGUUGUUAAGACCAGCAAAGCGCCGGACCCCCGUUGGGUCCUAUUACUGUGGCUACCAUUCACUGGUAUAUGAGUGUCGGUCAUUUCCAACACCCCCCCGUGAGCGACACUCUCUCGCUCCGGGCCUUCCCGUGCCUCAUCCCGGUCUCCCAUUCUCUGGGCAACAGCCAGUGGGUAUCGAUCCGGCGACCUCUCGGCAGCGCAAUGCGCCAUUCGGGGCUCAUAACCUGUUAAGACCAGCAAAGCGCCGGACCCCCGUUGGGUCCUAUUACUGUGGCUACCAUUCACUGGUAUAUGAGUGUCGGUCAUUUCCAACAGAAGUGUGAGUGUGCAAGGAAAUACACACAUGUGGAAAUGCUGGGUGCUCGGUAUUCAGUUAGGGAAUGCAAACGUCCUGGCGAGUGUUGAUGAAGUGUACCUGGUCGUAGUGCUACAAGCCGAGUCGUUGCUGCUGGGAUUCAGAACCUAACUUUUAUGCCGAUGGCAUCUCACGCCCACAUGCAGACGACUGGCGGCCGUGUACCGUGAACAUUUUGUAAUUGUAAUUGUAAUUGUAAUGUUACAGAGUGGGAGGCUUCUGGGCCGCUUUAUCACAUUGUCAGUUCUAGAUCAUUUAUCACCUUAUAGCACCUUCCACCACUACCACACUGUACUUCGCCAUACGAACUGUAAGUCCAAGGCGGCGGAUCCAGCAUCCAGGGACCCCUCCUCAUCCAUUCACCCGAACACCCGAAGAGACGGAGGGUUCGGCAAUCGCCACCAAUCCAGCGUGCGAAUCUGGUCCAUCAACUGUGACCUCAACUCCACAUCUCAGCAGCUAGCCAUAAUCUCGCGCUCCCGACUAAUUCGGGGGUCUCCCCAGGAAUCGAACCCAGGACCUUAAACCGCUAAUUGCAGUAGUGUCAACCCAGACCAGAACAUUUUGUAUCCAGUCGACCCAACCGGACAGCGUGGAUUGCAGCAGGCGAUCGUUUGCUACAACUACCAACAGACGGGCCGUAUAGCUCGGAGUUGCAGAGAGAUUAGCUGCCUAACGUGCAGGGAAGGAGUGGAGGUGGUCUUGGCACCCACACGUGGCAGGUGGGGUAGCAUGCCUCAACAGACAGGCGGUGGCGGCAGUGCAGUGAUGCCGUGUAUUUUUUUGCUGCAAGAUACGAACCACUAUGAAUUGUCUGUCUCCGAAGCGGCUAGUAUUGGAGUACCUGAGUCAGGGCCUUUGCCAGCGGCAAGCCACCGCAGGAGUUCAGAAGAAGAGGGCAGGGAAUAUGAGCAGAUAAUGUGGCCUUCGGAGUGGUGUAGUGGUGAUGCAGGAAGGAGGAUAGGAAGUCGCAUUCACUUGGCUGUCAUUGAUCCGAACCCUGCUGAGCUUUUGCUGAGUAUCGACCAGGGGAUUUGACCCCGGGUCUGUGCCUGACUAAUGGGGAAGACUUACCCCAGAACCUUAUGGGCUAAUAUCCGGUAGCUAAGAGAUAGACAUUGGGCACCGUCAGGACGGCGCAGUGAGAUCGCGGAAUGUACGUGCAGUUAGAUCGCGGAAUGUACGAGUUUUCCGCUAGCGCCGGUAUUUAGGGCGGUGACUGCGCUUAUUUGUUUAUCUCACUACGAUCGGUAUUCCUUAAAGGAAUCUCCUCAAGUCCUGCCGAACGCUAAUAAUACUCUUUACAUAACUUGUAACAUUUUAUCGUGCUAAAUAUCUUCGCCACCGGCAAUUCUUCCGAGAUAACAAUCAGCGUUGGCCGUCACCGUCGCCAAUUCUCCAAUAUACGAUAGGGGCACAGGGAUUUAGCGAGUGGGGCCUGCGGUUGGAGGUAUUGAUCCACUAUUUGAUGCCAAGCCUUGCGUAUUGCUAGGCCUGCCGUUGCAUUCAUAACUCCAUCCAAGGCCUCGCGCGCGCGAAGAACAUCCCCCAACGUAUGCAAUGCUUUACAGCCCAGGAGGGCUUGGUGUCGAAAUUCUAGUCCCGGGCGGAUGUUAUCUGACGGGACAUUCAACCUUUUUUCUGGAAGAACAGGGUUUCCCCACAAAGGCAAAUUCCAACACCACGCAUUAGGAACUAACGGGUGAUCAUCAACAUCUUCCACUGGGGGAAGGUAUGCCAACGCUGUCACAAUGCGCUGAACAUCUGGCGGUAAAACGAUUAAUCCAAACCAAGGCACUCCCACCUGGGACGUAAAAAUACACAUAGGAUUGUACUUGGGGUAAAGGCUACGCAGGAAAGAGUGCAUGACCAACACCCAUGGCGGACGCACUAAGACUGGUUGGAGUAAUGCUCUCACAAAACGCACUGCCCAGCACGCCCAUCGCGCUUGUACAUGUUCUCGAACUGCUAAUGCCCCAAAACCGCCCAAAGUUGGAUGGCCAUAUAACAAAUAUUUAGGAAUUCCGGUGAGUCGUCUGUCAUGUGCGACCGGUCCGAGGUUCAAAUCAAUAAGCUUGGCAGCUUUAGCCUCAAUAUUAAUGAGUUUUGCUUCUGGGGGAAAUCCCCCGUGUUCCAUAUGCCACGUAAAACGAUGCAACCCAUAGGCAGCCGCUGCAUGUGCACGCCCAAACAUGGAAUGGUUUAACACAGAAAUGCGUCGAGCCCAGACUUUGUCUAGUUGCACGUCCCAGUCCAUGACUGUGGUGUCCCCCACAUCCGUAAAAGGCAGAUUGAGAGCCGUUGCCCUGUGUACGACCUUCAUGUCAUGAUUUAUUGUGAUAUGAUGUGGGUGGGUGCCGAGAGGUAAAAGCUCAACCUUAUCCAGGUUAAGUUGCUGUCCAGAAGCCUGUGCGCGAGAUUAUGGCUAGCUGCUGAGAUGUGGAGUUGAGGUCACAGUUGAUGGACCAGAUUCGCACGCUGGAUUGGUGGCGAUUGCCGAACCCUCCGUCUCUUCGGGUGUUCGGGUGAAUGGAUGAGGAGGGGUCCCUGAAGGCUGGAUCCGCCGCCUUGGACUUACAGUUCGUAUGGCGAAGACAGUGUGGUAGUGGUGGAUGGUGCUAUAAGGUGAUAAAUGAUCGUAGAACUGACAAUGUGAUAAAGCGGCCCAGAAGCCUCCCACUCUGUAACACAUUACAUUACAUUACAUUACAGAAGCCUGUGCGUACACCCUCAUACAGUCAAGGAAAGCCGGAAUUGCCUGGAUUCUGUUAAGACCAGCAAAGCGCCGGACCCCCCUUGGGUCCUAUUACUGUGGCUACCAUUCACUGGGCGCAAUGCGCCAUUCGGGGCUCAUAACCUGUUAAGACCAGCAAAGCGCCGGACCCCCCUUGGGUCCUAUUACUGUGGCUACCAUUCACUGAGUGUCGGUCAUUUCCAACAGAUUCCUUCUAAAACAACUUCCGUAUCAUCAGCAAAUUGCACAGCAUUUCUGAAUUAUUUUGGGGUAAAUGAAUCCCCACUCGGUUGUACUGUAACCAACAAAGAAACGCCUGCGCGGCAAACAAGUACAGCAACGGUGCCAAUGGACAUCCCUGUCGCACAUCCGCUGUAAGAGCAACUUCACGGGAAAAAAAUCCAUUUACUAACGCUUUCGACGCUGUAUCGGAUAAAAGAAGCUUAGUCCAGCUAAUUAACCCUGCUCCUGCGCCCGUAGCAUCUAUUGCUUCAAAUAAAAAAUUACGAUCUAAGGAAUCGUAAGCUUUAGCAAUAUCCAAAAAAGCCAGGAGACACGACUGGCCUGUCGUCGACAUGAGUUGCGGUAGAUGCCAGAACAUGAGUUGCGGUAGAUGCCAGAACAUUUGCACCUAUCAAGCGCUCCGGCAGAAAAGCAGACUGCUCGAGCGUGAUAGAUAAUUCGCCCUAGUAUUGGACUCAGCCUACGGGUUACAAUUUUGGUGAGAAUCCUGUAAUCUGUAUUCAACAAGGUCAUAACUACCCGGGGAGGUGGGAGACCCCCGAUUUUUAUAAAUAACCGUGAUAGCACCUUGCAAAAAGCCAUCUGGGAGCAUUUGGGUUUGGCCCAUGGCUGUAUAAAGUUGAAAUGGUGCAAUCUCGUUCCGACACACCUUGUAUAAUUCAAUUGGGAUGCCAUGUAGACCGGGCGCUUUGCCUGGCGUCGCUUCCUUGAGCACCGUAUCCACUUCAGCGUCAGACACCUCCGGUCUUCCUACAUGACACGCAUACUCCUCCGGAAUGACAAGGUGGCGGUUCCGCAGCGCCCCUAUAACAGCCAUUCUAGCCUCUUCAGUCACUUGAGUUGGGGAGGAACAAAUCUCUCCCCAAAUAUCCGCAACCAUCUGUGGCAACUUCAUCGUGUCUGUAAUAAGACGACCCGUUCUAUCUUGCAACGCUGAAAUGACUUGUAGAGUCUUAGACGGGUGCACCAGCACCCUCUACUAGGCCGUUCACCCUCACGAAUCCACUGUAACCGAACCCGUUCCGCCUCCUGUGCACCUUCAGCUCUAGCCGCUUGUACAACCGUUACUUGGGCGUCAAUUGCCGCUUGGAUCCUCUGUGCACUCAUAUCUUCGGUCUGCACUUCUUCCAGUGCCCGUGUUGCAUGUUCUAUUGCCAAACGUACUUGCCAUCCCUUGGUACACCCACCGGGCCCAGGCUUGCUGCAAUAGAAGCAAAUCACCUCAUUGUGAGAAACGCCAGAACUGCUGCUGGCCGCGCCACCAUUCCCAAGACCAGAACCAGAGGCGCCAAACGAAAAAACUGCCGACAGAAGCAAAAGCUGCCGACAGAAGCAAAAGCUGCCGACAAACCAACAAGCAAAGUGUGUGCCCACUCAGAAUCGCUGAUAACGUGUCCUACUCCCAAACAAGUCCGACAGUCAUUGCUUGCAGGCGUCCUAUGCCUUCUCCGCGCUAGCAAUGUCUGCUACUGGCGUUAUCCAUGUUGAGGAAACGGUCCUCUCUCAACUCGUGUGGUUGUCGACCAGGGGAUUUCACCCCGGGUCUGCGUCUGACUAAUGGGGAAGACUUACCCCAGAACCUUAUGGGGCUACCGAUGGAUAUCCGGUAGCUAAGUGAUAGACAUUUGGGCACCGUCAGGACGGCGCAGUGAGAUCGCGGAAUGUACGUGCAGUUAGAUCGCGGAAUGUACGAGUUUUCCGCUUGCGCCGGUAUUUAGGGUGGUGACUGCGCUUAUUUGUUUAUCUGUUGAGGAAACGGUCCUCUCCCAACUCGUGUGGUUGUCGACCAGGGGAUUUGACCCCGGGUCUGCGUCUGACUAAUGGGGAAGACUUACCCCAGAACCUUAUGGGGCUACCGAUGCAUAUCCGGUAGCUUAGUGAUAGACAUUAGGGCACCGUCUGGACGGCGCAGUGAGAUCGCGGAAUGUACGUGUUUUCCGCUAGCGCCGGUAUUUAGGGCGGUGACUGCGCCUAUUAGUUUAUCUCACAACGAUCGGUAUUCCUACCAGGAAUCUCCUCAAGUCCUGCCGAACGCUAACAAUACUCUUUACAUUUCUUGUAACAGUUUAUCGUGCCAAAUAUCUUCGCCACCGGCAAUCCUUCCGAAAUAACAAUCAGCGUUAGCCGUCACCGUCGCCAAUUCUUCAAUAGGUUAUGAGCCCCGCUUAGCGCCGACAGUUAUCGCCCAAUUGUUAUUUCUAUCCCUCAUCAACAAUGGUUAAGGACAAGCUUGAUGAGUCGCUGGAUCUCAACAACUACU